AAUAACAUCAAUCUCAAGUGCUAAGAAAAACACGAAAGUCUACACGUGGCGGGUAUCCACCGUCAAUCGACGCUCAUCGCCACGUAGCGCCGCGUCUGCCCUUCAUCCGCUUAAUAAGAACAAGUGUUUAGGAAAACACUAAGAAAUCUAGCAAUAGAAAGGCAGCACACGGAUCGAUGACGUGGCAUACAGCUUUCAAAUCCCGCCCAAAUUUCCUUCGGCCCCUUGCUGGCCCUUCGUCUAUUGCAUCUAAUUCUCUCACUAGCCCUCCUCCUCUCCUUCUUAUUGCUCUUCGCUCUCCCACUUCCAGCCGACCUUACCAGCUCGACGCGGAGAGAAACCCUAACCCUAGGUGACUUAGCAGUUUCGAAGAUGAAAGGUGGAAAAUCCAAGGCCAACACAUCG